rnacentral:rRNA from 1 species
CGAGUGAAGAGGGACAAGCCCGCUGCCGAAUCGCAUCCGACAUUGUUGGGUGUGAGUUGUGGCAUGCUGUGGGUAGCCAGAUUCGUUGUCUGUAGUAAGUCCCCUGGAAAGGGGCAUCAGAGAGGGUGAAAGUCCCGUCUGUUACUUUCAACGUGUCGUACGGCUGCUUACUCUGAGAGUCGUGUUCCUUGGAAGUGGAGCGCAAAUGGGUGGUACGUUUCAUCCAAGGCUGAAUACUGCUCCGAGACCGAUAGCGAACAAGUACCGUGAGGGAAAGGUGAAAAGGACUUUGAAAAGAGAGUUAAACAGUGCCUGAAAUCGCUAAAGGGGAAGCGAAUGAGGUCUGCUCGUUCUAGUCUGGGUUCGCCUAGAUAUAGAAGUCGAUGUCAGUUUUGGGUAUGGUGAAGCCCUUGCUGUAUUCAGGCUGCUUGCAGCCGGUGCUGCAGUGAGAAGGUCACCAGUGGCUCGGACUGAGGAAUGCGGCUUGCGUUUAUCUUGUGGGUAGUGCGCUGCGCUUGCGUAGUGUGCCCUGUAAGUGCGUGAGUUUCAGGAUAUCGGCGAUGAGCGGCCACAUUCGGCCCGUCUUGAAACACGGACCAAGGAGUCUAACGUAUGCGCAAGUCUGCGGGUGUUAAACUCGCCGGCGAAAUGAAAGUGAGACUUUCGACGUGUUGGUAGUGGGUCUUAGGAUUCACGUACCCAAUGACCGACCUUGAUCUUCGGUGAUAGGUUUGAGUUCGAGCGUGUCCGUUAGGACCCGAAAGGUGGUGAACUAUGCCUGAGUAGGGUGAAGCCAGGGGAAACUCUGGUGGAGGCUCGUAGCGAUACUGACGUGCAAAUCGUUCGUCGAACUUGGGUAUAGGGGCGAAAGACUAAUCGAACUACCUAGUAGCUGGUUCCCUCCGAAGUUUCCCUCAGGAUAGCUGAAGUUCUUAUGCAGUUUUGUCAGGUAAAGCGAAUGAUUAGAGGCAUUGGGGACACCUCGUCCUCGACCUAUUCUCAAACUUUAAAUGGGCAAGUCUGUCAGUUACUUAAUUGAACUGUCGGGUGCAAUGCAGAACUUUUAGUGGGCCAUUUUUGGUAAGCAGAACUGGCGAUGAGGGAUGAUCCUAACGUCGAGUUAAGGUGCUCAAUUUCUCGCUCAUCAGAUACCAGAAAGGGUGUUGGUCGAUCUAGACAGCAGGACGGUGGUCAUGGAAGUCGAAAUCCGCUAAGGAGUGUGUAACAACUCACCUGCCGAAUCGACUAGCCCCGAAAAUGGAUUGCGCUGAAGCGGGGGACCGAUACUCGACCGCUGAUAGUACAAGUCAGAAAGUACCAGCGUGUAGGGGGGC